GACACAAAAGCAAGCAUAACAAUCGGCUGAGGAAAAAAGGAGCAGACCUCAGCGAACUUCAAAGUGCCAUUGAAUCCAUAAAGCAGACGCAGGAGGACAUUAACAGGACCAUCACCGUGCUGCGGAGUCGUGCAGCGAGCCGGGUGGAGGGCAGCUCCUUCCUCCAGCAGCGUGACUACAUCAUCAUCAUUUUUCUCAUCUUCCUUCAGGUCCUGAUCAACUACAUCUUCAAGUAGCAGCCAUACCCCCAGAGACAGCGAUGUCCUCGCACUCACACGCCCUCUGAGCCUCGUGGGGGCGGACUCAGACUUCAACAGUCCUCUCCAACUCUCUUCUCCUCUGUCUUUAUUAGACUCACUCACAUGUAUCCAGAAAAGCAGACUCUUCAACACAAAGAGAGACUUUUUAAAAACAUAUUUAUUUGGAACCAGUCUUUUGGAAAAUCUGGAGAGAUCCUCAGAUUUCAAAGUGGAGAGGAGCAGCGGUAAGGAGAAGUUCGGUGUGAAUAAAUCUCGACUGCCA